rnacentral:rRNA from 1 species
AGUUUGAUCAUGGCUCAGAAUGAACGUUGGCGGCGUGGAUUAGGCAUGCAAGUCGAGCGAGAACCGUAGCAAUACGGGGACAGCGGCGAAAGGGACAGUAAUGUGUAGAUCAUCUGCCCUCGGGAUCGGGAUAGCUGCGGGAAACUGCAGGUAAUACCGAAUAACAUCUCCGGAUCAAAUGGUGUGAUUCCGCCUGAGGAUGAGUCUACAUCCUAUUAGCUAGUUGGUGGGGUAACGGCCUACCAAGGCUUUGAUGGGUAGCGGGUGUGAGAGCACGACCCGCGUCACUGGGACUGAGACACUGCCCAGACACCUACGGGUGGCUGCAGUCGAGAAUCUUCGGCAAUGGACGCAAGUCUGACCGAGCGACGCCGCGUGCGGGAUGAAGGCCUUCGGGUUGUAAACCGCUGUCAGAGGGGAGGAAAUUACGGUGGGUUCUCCCACCGCAUUGACCUAGCCUCAGAGGAAGUACGGGCUAAGUUCGUGCCAGCAGCCGCGGUAAGACGAACCGUACAAACGUUAUUCGGAAUCACUGGGCUUAAAGGGUGCGUAGGCGGCGCGGAAAGUAGGGUGUGAAAUCCCUCGGCUCAACCGAGGAAUUGCGCCCUAAACUACCGUGCUCGAGGGAGAUAGAGGUGAGCGGAACUUAGGGUGGAGCGGUGAAAUGCGUUGAUAUCCUAA